rnacentral:rRNA from 1 species
ACGGAGGGUGCAAGCGUUAUUCGGAAUUACUGGGCGUAAAGGGCGUGCAGGCGGGAGAGCAAGUGAGAAGGGAAAGGAGGGGGGAGAACCCCGGAAGGGCAUUGGAAACUGCUUUUCUUGAGUUCUGGAGAGGAAGGGAGAAUUCCCGGUGUAGAGGUGAAAUUCGUAGAGAUCGGGAGGAACAUCAGUGGCGAAGGCGCCCUUCUGGACAGCAACUGACGCUGAGACGCGAAAGCGUGGGGAGCAAACAG